rnacentral:rRNA from 1 species
UACGGGGGGGGCAAGCGUUGUUCGGAAUUACUGGGCGUAAAGGGCUCGUAGGUGGCCGAUUCAGUCAGACGUGAAAUCCCUCGGCUCAACCGGGGAACUGCGUCUGAUACUAGUUGGCUUGAAUCCGGGAGAGGGAUGCGGAAUUCCAGGUGUAGCGGUGAAAUGCGUAGAUAUCUGGAGGAACACCGGUGGCGAAGGCGGCAUCCUGGACCAACACUGACACUGAGGAGCGAAAGCCAGGGGAGCAAACGGG